rnacentral:misc_RNA from 1 species
CUUGCCUUGUGUAGGGGGCUCUUUAUUUUAGUCGUAAUUUAAUAAUAAUAAGAUUAAUUUCAUUAGAAGAUGUGUUUAAAUACGAAUAACAAUAUAAAUUACAGUAUUUAUCAGUGAGUUUAUUUUUCGAUUGUGUGUUGGGUGAGAAAACAGUGACAAUGUUCUAUCACAAAUAUUUAACUCGUGAACAUCUAGAAGGCUUCGACAAUUAUAAGUACAUGGCAAUAGACACCAGCCCUCUCAGUGUCUAUGUUAUGCACCCGUUUUGGAACAAAGUUGUUGAGUUCGUCCCACGCUGGGUGGCGCCAAACGUCCUAACCUUCGCCGGGUUCCUCCUCACCGUUCUGGACUUCAUCCUGCUAUCGUACUAUGACUAUAACUACCUGGCGGCGAGCUCGCUCAACGCCACGGAGACCGUCUCCUUGAACCAGAGUCCACUCAACGGUCACACAGAGGUCAUACCACGCUCGCUGUGGGCGGUCCUGGCCGUGUUCUUGUUCCUCGCUUACACUCUGGAUGGCAUAGAUGGGAAGCAGGCGCGCCGGACCCAGACGUCGGGGCCACUGGGCGAGCUGUUCGACCACGGCCUGGACUCGUAUUCUGUGUUCUUCAUCCCAGCCUGUCUGUACUCCAUCUUCGGAAGACUCGACUUCUCCAUACCGCCUAUAAGGAUGUAUUAUGUGAUGUGGAACAUUCUACUCAACUUCUAUCUAAGUCAUUGGGAGAAGUAUAACACAGGAGUGUUAUUUCUACCCUGGGGCUACGAUUUUAGUAUGUGGGCAUCGACAUUCUUCUUCUUGUGGACGGGGAUCUCUGGCACUGGGUUCUACAAAAGAUACCUAUUUGGCGGUUACACCAUUGCCAACGCGUUCGAGUGGCUCAUUUACGCCACUGGGGUCUUUACCAACCUGCCAGUCGCCAUUUACAACACGCAGAAGUCAUACAGACUGCGCACUGGUAAAAUGCGGAGCCCUAUGGAGGCGCUGCGGCCGCUGUGGGCGCUGCUGAGCGUGUUCAUAGUGUGCACCGUGUGGGUGCAUCGGUCACCCAGCCUACCCGACUACGACCCGCGCGUGCUGUUCCUGCUGAUUGGGACUGUGUUCAGUAAUGUUGCUUGCCGGCUGAUAGUGAGCCAGAUGUCGUCGCAGCGCUGCGCGGCCGCCAACUGGCUGGUGUGGCCGCUGCUGCUGGCGGCCGCCUUGGCGCUGGCCGCCCCGCAGCACGAGCCCGCCGCGCUCUACGGCGCCACGCUGCUGUGCGUGCUGGCGCACCUGCACUACGGCGCUUGUGUCGUUCGACAAAUGUGCGACCACUUCCGAAUAAGCUGCUUCCACAUAAAGCAGCGUGCAGAUUGACUCUUAGACGACAGCGCGUGCUAGACACAACAUAACAGACAAACAAACAACAUAAUGUACAGGUAAACUUGUAGCGAACAGGGGGCGGCGACGGGGGCUACGUGCUUUCCGAAGCACGGAGGAGCCAGGAAUAUUUCAUUGGAAACAUUUGUACAGUGAGUUAAUUUUACAAUUGGUGUAACUUGAAAAAACUUGUUUUUUCAUUGCGUCGGAGAAAGCUUUAUUUACUUUAGGCUGACAGCUCUGGGGGGUUAAAAAGCUAGUUACUAGGGAUCGACGAUCCAACGGUGUUAUGUUGGAAGUAGUAUUAUGCGUCUUGCUGUGUAAACUUCGAUACCGCGUUUCACGACUGCUUGAAGACUGCAUUAUUGAAUGUGGCGCCAUCUGUUGCAUGUGAGCGGAACUAGGUGGCCAACUAGUUGGGUCCGCCACACUAGUAUUUGAACUGUCAAAUUAAAGUAAAAUAAAGUUUGUGUCUGUCAGCUGUGGCAAACACACGAACCGACACAGUCGCAUCAUAAGGGUUCCAAUUUUUGCAAUUUGGGUUGGGAACCGUAACAGAAAAAAAAUCUUUUUUUUAUGGACUUGAAUGGGCCCAAAAUGAGGUCCUUUAAUUGACUACUAUGCUUAUGUCGAUCAUGUCUGAAUUAACUUUUUUUAAAGUUCGAAUUUGUCAUCAUAAUUCGAAAUGAUAUUUUAAAUUCCUGAGCCGUCUCCUGUUUGAAAAAGGCCUACAGUAGAAACAAAUCUGUUCCAUGUAGAUAUCAUUAAAAAAAAACACAAUGCAAAUAGUUUUUUAUCACUAUAGAGGAUCUUCCUCACGGUGCGAUUCGAUAUCGCAUUGCACUGCGAUCAGCGCCAUGAGGAGGGUCUCUAAGUUAGUAGACGUAGUUGAGUUUUACUCGCCGCAAUCGAUAUAUUUAAUUGAAGACGACAUGAUAAUUACAGAGACAGGGUGUGAUGGACAGACUGGUAUGUUUUUUAUUUCAAUGGGGUGUUUUCCCGGGUCAAAACAAGUCUUCAUUUUCUUGCUGUGUUAUACAGGAUGUUAGUGACAUCGUAACGAAUACUGAGGGGGUUAUUCAGACCAUGAUUCUGAGUAAAUAUCAAGUGGAAUUUCCUGUCGGAAAAUACUUGUUUUUUUUUAAUUAUUUUCAGUUCAAUACUUUUGCGACGGUAAAUUCCUCGUGAUAACUAUUCAGAAUAAUCGUCUGAGUCAGCCUUCAAAGAUUUUCAAGUUUUGACUGAAUGUUUUGACUGGCUGAAAACAUCCCCAUAAUAAAUAAGAAAUGUAUUAUGUAAUGCAAAAUAAGCAAAAAUAUUGUUUUGUAAGAAAGAUUUACAUUUUUUAUGUAAUGAGGAUAGAAACUAGAAGUUCAAAUGUAGGAGGCGCCACUGUUGAGUGUUCCUACAUCUUGACAGUUCUCCAUACUGUCCAGCUUUAGCUGGAAAAUUCGUGACAAAAUCCAAUUUCAAAAAUAUCUUUAUUCAGUAGGUAACAUAGUUACACUUUGAAUCGUCAAUUUUUACAUAACGUACGUCUCAUCCGCCUAAAACUACUGCAGCUCACAACCUGUAUAGCCGGGGACAAGAAGCUGCAAGAAAAACCUCGGCACAGGGCACAUUUUAUAGAUAAAUUGAUAUAAAAUGUGGAGCAACGUGGAGUGUAUCCCGUCUGAAUGAUGAGUUACGAAAAAGAAAAGCUAUCAGUUGGAAAAAGGAAUUUUAGAUUGAAAAUAAGUUUUUCUAUGUUUUCUUCUUUCCGAUCUUUAGGAAGUAAAUACGGCCUCUAUGGUCCAGUGGUUGAGCGUUGAGCUCAGGAUCCGGAGGUCCCGGGUUCGAAUCCCGAUGGGGACAUAUCACAAAAAUCAUCUUUAUGAUCCCCAGUUUGGUUAGGACAUUACAGGCUGAUCACUGAUUGAAAGUAAGAUGAUCCGUGCUUCGGAAGGCACGUUAAGUCGGUGGUCCCGGUUAUUACUUACUGAUGUAAGUGACAACUACAUGAGCCAUGUCAGGGGCCUUUGGCGGGUCAAUAAUAACCCUGACACCAGGGUUGAUGAGGUUGGUAAUUUACCUCACAACCUACACGAUAGAAGAAAGAAUAAAUGCAACACUAUGUUUUUGCAGGUAAACGCGUAAAGGGUGAUAGUGUAAAAAUAUUACUAAAACAAUGGUGCUAAUUCCUGUAAAUACCAUCUAAUUUUAUUUUAAGUUAUAUCUGUCAUUUUCUUAUCCGCCGAAAAGGAAAGGGACGGAUGAUUGUGAACAAGUUAAUUUUAAAACGAAUGAAUAACCCGGGCGAAUAAAAUAGGCAUCUCGCUUGUAUGUAAUUCGAUUGACGUGCCGUCUGCUUA